GACGAACGCUGGCGGCGUGCUUUACACAUGCAAGUCGAACGGAAAGGCCCUGCUUUUGUUGGGUGCUCGAGUGGCGAACGGGUGAGUAACAUGUGAGUAACCUGCCCUUUACUUUGGGAUAACUUCAGGAAACUGGUGCUAAUACCUGCUAGGUGCUCCUGCUGCAUGGUGGGGGUUGGACAGUUUCGGCGGUUGGGGAUGGAUUCGCGGCUUAUCAGCUUGUUGGUGGGGUAGUUGCUGACCAAGGCUUUGACGGGUAGCCGGCCUGAGAGGGUGACCGGGCACAUUGGGACUGAGAGACGGACCAGACUCCUACGGGAGGCAGCAGUGGGGAAUAUUGCACAAUGGGCGGAAGCCUGAUGCAGCAACGCCGCGGGCGGGAUGAGGGCCUUCGGGUUGUAAACCGCUUUCGCCUGUGACGAAGCGUGAGUGACGGUAAUGGGUAAAGAAGCACCGGCUAACUACGUG
rnacentral:rRNA from 1 species